CAAAACGUUGUGCUCCUCGAUAACAGAAACACACUUCUGUUCCGAGGUCUGUCCCCUUCUUCCUCCCCCCCUUUCGUCGUACUUAAUUCUCGAAUCGCUCCCCGGCCUCUCUCCCCCCUCCACGCUGCCCCACCCCAUCCGCCCCCUCCCUUUGCGAGUGUGAUUGUUUUGUCUGGAAAAAAAAAAUCCAAAGUAUAUAACAAGGGGAGAACAGUUAGUGCUGAUUUUCAUUUGCAUACAUUUUCAUAUAUUUUGGUGAAAAUAAUAGACUAGUGGAGAGCUGGGCUUCGAGGCGUCAGUGUGAAGGGAAGGCUAAGGACGCAUCGGUGCUGGAGAGUUGAGAAUAUGCCUUCCCCUCCACCCCCAACCCAGUCACCUUAUUUGAAAAAAAAUUAAAAAACACCUUUUAUUUAAAAACCUAACCCUGGAAGUUUGCUCGCUGCCUGAAAAUCAUAUGCGUGGUUUUUCCUGUUUCCUGCUCUGUAGCUGACAUCAGGGGAGCAACGUGAACACAGGAAAAUGGAAAUCAACAUUUGAAACUUUUAAAUGGAAGCUUUAUUGGGGUUCCACAUAUGGAAAACUGCAAAUAGCAGAAGUAUGUGACUCAAUAAAUUAUUCUGGAGUGACCACAUCCUCUAACUGCCUCCCAGGACAAGACGGAGAAUGUGAACAAUGCUCCUGAAGGCCCCUUUCCCUCAAAGGUAACCACUGGCCUGACUUCUGACACCAUACAUUUGUUUUGCUUUUUUGAACUUCAUGUAAAUGGAAUCAUAUGAAUCACUGCAAUUGAAGGAAAAAUGCUCCAUGUCCCCUCUGCCAGUUGGUGUUUAUCAAAGGACAACGGAGGAAGAGAGACAAAGUGCCUGGAUGUGUGUGUUAAUCAAGAGUUGUCAGGACCCUGCCUCUAAAAGAAAGCGCUAAAAUGAUGCUUUUGACAAGACUUUUCUCAAAGUGGAUGCAGUCUAAGGGUUGGAAAACAAGGCCCAAUCAGGCUAGGUCUGACUUGUCGCCUGCUUUUGUAAAUAAAGUUUUAUUGGCUC
rnacentral:lncRNA from 1 species